AGCCACAUCACUUUGAAACACCAGUUCCCUUACGAUCACCGAAGUUAAGCAACGUCGAACCUGGUUAGUACAUAGAUGGUUGACCGUUUGGGUA